rnacentral:rRNA from 1 species
CCUACGGGUGGCAGCAGUGGGGAAUAUUGCACAAUGGGGGAAACCCUGAUGCAGCGACGCCGCGUGAGUGAAGAAGUAAUUCGUUAUGUAAAGCUCUAUCAGCAGGGAAGAAAAUGACGGUACCUGAGUAAGAAGCCCCGGCUAACUACGUGCCAGCAGCCGCGGUAAUACGUAGGGGGCAAGCGUUAUCCGGAUUUACUGGGUGUAAAGGGGGCGUAGACGGCAGUGCAAGUCUGGGGUGAAAGGCGGGGGCUUAACCCCGGAACUGCUCUGGAUACUGUACGGCUGGAGUGCAGGAGAGGUAGGUGGAAUUCCUAGUGUAGCGGUGAAAUGCGUAGAUAUUAGGAGGAACACCAGUGGCGAAGGCGGCCUACUGGACUGUAACUGACGUUGAGGCUCGAAAGCGUGGGGAGCAAACAGGAUUAGAUACCCCAGUAGUC